UGGGGAAUAUUGCGCAAUGGGGGGAACCCUGACGCAGCCAUGCCGCGUGAAUGAAGAAGGCCUUAGGGUUGUAAGUUCUUUCCGUAUUUGAGGAAGGUUGAUGUGUUAAUAGCACAUCAAAUUGACGUUAAAUACAGAAGAAGCACCGGCUAACUCCGUGCCAGCAGCCGCGGUAAUACGGAGGGUGCGAGCGUUAAUCGGAAUAACUGGGCGUAAAGGGCACGCAGGCGGUUAUUUAAGUGAGGUGUGAAAGCCCCGGGCUUAACCUGGGAAUUGCAUUUCAGACUGGGUAACUAGAGUACUUUAGGGAGGGGUAGAAUUCCACGUGUAGCGGUGAAAUGCGUAGAGAUGUGGAGGAAUACCGAAGGCGAAGGCAGCCCCUUGGGAAUGUACUGACGCUCAUGUGCGAAAGCGUGGGGAGCAAACAGGAUUAGAUACCCUGGUAGUCCAUGCUGUUAAACCCGUAUUUGGGGUUGGGGUUUAACUCUGGCGCCCGUAGCUAACGUGAUAAAUCGACCGCCUGGGGAGUACGGCCGCAAGG
rnacentral:rRNA from 1 species